CCUUCAUUGUCAUCGCUUGUAUAACCCUCGCCGUUGUCGUUGCCCAAGUAUUACCACUGUCACUAUACUUCUUUCACACAACUCAACCCUCUCCUUCGAAACCACAAAUAGAUUGGCAGCACAAAGAACCGUACGGCAUUUUGGAUACGUUUGCAUGCCCGCGAAGGGGCCUGCCAUGCAUCUCUACGACUUAAGUGAUAAUGGCGGAGUGCAACAGAGAAAGUGGAGAGACGCGCCUUUCAUUUUGACGAUGUAACGACGACGACGACGACGACGACAAUGGUGAACGAGUCGCGGCAUGGAAAAAAUUGCCCUUGGCUAUGCUGGGUGAGACGCGGUUGAUCUCGAGCUAUGGACCUGUCGUUGGGAAAUAAUUGGUUUGAGGGGAUACAGCGGACAGGGAAACAGAAGGCAAACUCAAACCUCCAUUUUCAAAGCCCGAACUAAACAUAAAAAUUCCUUCACUGCCCGAUAAAACGAUGGAAGGCUUACAAAGGAGCACAACAACCUACGAAUGAUAAAUCGAAGUUAAUAAGCAGUAAAUAUGUACAAGGAACAAGUAAUAUUAAAACCAUACGAAAAUUACGUACGUUGUAGCUUAACACAAUACCGCAUUUUUUAUCGCUUACCAACAAUGUCGUAUGAAUCAUGUCUAACCUCCGGGGAACAUAAGACCCUAUGUAUUAUGUCAUUCUUUACAAUAUGAAACUGAGUAAAAGAACAAUUCAGUCAAAAGGUAUUACGCUAAAAGGUAACUAGAUUGAUAUAACCUAAUUAUUUAGUGAGAAGUAAAACAGUUUUGUAUUAAACAACA